GGCAAGGACAUAGAAGCCCGGC
rnacentral:miRNA from 1 species